GCCAUUAUACUAACACAAGAAAGGUCCUGUCCUCUUUCAAGAAGACAUAAGAGCACCAAAGGAAAAAAGUCCAAUUCUUUUUGCCUUCUACAGUAAUACUGUUGAGCCCCCUACUGUCCCCUUUCUAAGCCACUAUUCCAAUCACCCUUUCUACUCUUCACAAAAUGAUCAGUUCAAGGGCCAUUUAAUCCUAGGAGGUUAAGAUCUUAAAAAAUCUUCGUUCACCUCACCUUUGUGAGUCACCCAGCCCAGUGAGAUUAUCCAGCUCCAAAUCUAUGAUCCUACCAUCCCUAAUGUAGAAGUGACCAACUGAAGGUUCCCAGCACUGGAAUGACUGGCAGUCCCCCAACUAGAGACUAUUGAAGCUAGGAUUCAAAUCCAGGAAAAAUAACCAGCAAUAAAGUGGUAAACUUCCUUGGAUUAGAUGAGUUUUCCUGAUUCCAGACUCAGCACUAUCCACUGCACUCUAACAAGCACAGAGUCAGUCAAUCACUGAUCCCAAGUACCACUCCACUAGAGACUUGCCAAAUCAGCAAGGGAUGGACUACCCUUUGAGGUUCUGACCACACGUGAUGAAUUUUGUGGCCUCUAUUGACGAUUAUCUACUAAGGAACAGCAGAGUUCUGAUCUGCCUAGGUGGAAAGAGUACUGACAUCAACGAAAUUAUGAUAGCUGAAGAAGAACCUUUCUGUAAUUUGUAUUCCUCUCUCUUAAGGUCUUUGAUUUAGGCUUUUGGCCAGACUCCUUUUUCUGUCACCUAUCUUUCCUUCAUCCUUCAAGAUCCAGCUGAAGUGAUUCUUUUUUUUGUGGAAGCCUCACAAGAGAAUCCUAGUUUUUAAAGCUGAAAGGGAUUUUAGAGAUCUCCUUAGUUCCCUUCCUCACCUACACUUGUUAUAACUUCUGAUAUCAUUCAAGACUCAACUUUAGUUCCACCUUCUGCCUGAAGUCUUUUUUUUUUUUUGGUCCUCCCAGUGCUAUGCCUUGUUUCCAUUUUGUAUACAUUGUGUUUAAUUCAAAUUUUAAUAUUUAUGCAAUGUUUUUCUCUCCUCUCCUCUCUUAGCAUGUGAGGUCCUUGAGGGUAGGGUCUUUAACCCUUAGCUUUCCACAAUGCCUGGUAAAGAGGAGGCACUUAAUAAAUGCAUGUCAAUAAUUUCUUGACUGAGGUUCAGAGAGUAGGCAGGACUUAUUCAAGAUCACAGUUACAAGGGCAGCUGGGUGGCUCAUUGUAUAGAAAACCAGGCCAGGAGAUCCUGUGCUCAAUUAGUUGAAUGCAAAUCACCAUGUUUACUAAUCAUCUACUAUGUUCCAGGCACACUUGGAGAAACAAAGAUCUUAAAUUCCACUAAAUUGGCUAAAGCACACCUCUAAUGAGGCUAAAGUCUUAGGUUCAGUCCUUUGGGGGUCCAGUUACCAUUAUGCAGGGAAAACAGCCCCAGGAGGGGCUCAGUGGAUAGAGAACCAGACCUAGAGAGGGUAGAUCCUGAGUUCAAAUCUGACCUCAGACACUUCCUACUUGUGUGACCUUGGGCAAGUCACUUAAUUCCAAUUGCCUGCCUCUUCUGCCUUACAACUAAUUCUGAGUAUUGGUUCAAAGUUAGAAGGCAAUGGUUUAAAAAAAAUUUCACAUGUUCUAAAUGGAAAACUGUAUUGUAGUUGCCAUGACUACUUCAGUAUGCAGUGAUCACAAUUUAUCCCUCAGAGGUAGAGUUUCUACAGUAAGUAUUACUGAAAGCCAUCAUUUGAUAAUUGUUAUUAAUUGUUAAUUAUACAUCUCCACCUCUAUGUUUUGUUUUUUUAUUCCCCAACUAACUUGUAAGCUUCUUCAGCAUCAAGAGGAGGUCUUUGAUUCCCCAAUACUUAAGCACUCACAUACACCUGUAAUAGGGUCAAGCAAUUUCUGAGAUACAAUGGCCCUCAGUCGCCUUCUCAUCCUAUGUCCCUCUUUUAUAGAUGAAAGAACUUAGACCCAGGAAGGGAAAGUCAUCUUAUCCAAGUGAGUGGCAUAGUCAUUUCUAAAAAGCCAAAUCUCUUAACUCUUGAUCUUGGUACUUCAUACUGUUUCAUUCUAUUUUCCUUAAAUUGGAGGUACACAAAUACCGUCAUUUCUUUCCCUGCUCCUCCUCUUCAGUCUCAUUUAAAAUAAGCAUUUUAGUUAUAAGGCUUGGUUCAAAGACUUUAGCUCCAUGACCACUAACCCAAAGAGAGGACUUGAGUGGAGUUCACAUUCUAUUCAGUACUUAAUUUAUGGUCCUCUCGGUCACUUGAUUUUUUUUAAUAGAGAAUAUAGUGUUAGACUAAAAAUGAAUACUCCAAGAAUUUAAGUUUAUAGGAUUUAAUAACAGCAAAGUGAGAGAGAAAGGGGUUCCUUCAGUUGAGUGAGCAGAGCAAAGAGCCAGAGACCCACACCUGCCCUGCUCAAACCCAAGUAAAAAGCCCCAAAGCCCCCACAGUGUGGGUUUCAGCAAGUUUAUAAACAAACCCAUGCAAGGGGCACAACACAGGGAUGAAAGACAAGGGGACCCCAGGAAGACUAAAGAAUGCUGGGAAAUGAAGUCCCCCCAGC